rnacentral:tRNA from 1 species
GCGGGAGUGGAGUAAUUGGCAGCCUCGAUGCACUCAAAAUGCAUUGCCUGAAAGGGCGUGUGGGUUCGAGUCCCACCUCCCGCACCA